rnacentral:rRNA from 1 species
UUGAAAGCAGCCGCGGUAAAACGUAGGUCCCGAGCGUUGUUCAGAUUCACUGGGUGUAAAGGGCGCGUAGGUGGUUGUCUGUGUCUCAUGUGAAAACUCAGGGCUCAACUCUGAGAUUGCGUGGGAAACUAGGCAGCUAGAGGACGGUAGAGGGGAGUGGAAUUCCCGGUGUAGCGGUAAAAUGCGUAGAUACCGGGAGGAACACCGGUGGCGAAGGCGGCUCUCUGGGCCGAUCCUGACGCUGAGGCGCGAAAGCUAGGGUAGCGAACCGGAUUAGAUACCCGGGUAGUCCUAGCCGUAAACGAUGGGUGCUAGGUGUUGGGGGGUAAGGACCCUUCAGUGCCGAAGCUAACGCGAUAAGCAUCCCACCUGGGGAGUACAGCCGCAAGGUUGAAACUCAAAGGAUUGGCGG